rnacentral:rRNA from 1 species
CACGUAGGGGGCGAGCGUUGUCCGGAUUUAUUGGGCGUAAAGAGCUCGUAGGCGGCUCAGUAAGUCAGGUGUGAAAACUCCAGGCUCAACCUGGAGACGCCACCUGAUACUGCUGUGGCUAGAGUCCGGUAGGGGAGCAUGGAAUUCCUGGUGUAGCGGUGAAAUGCGCAGAUAUCGGGAGGAACACCAAUGGCGAAGGCAGCUCGCUGGGACGGUACUGACGCUGAGGCGCGAAAGCGUGGGGAUCAAACAGG